GUUUCUGCUAUUACUAAGGCUUAGCAGGCUUCAGACGUACUUGUGUUUUAUGAUUAUUUUACCAUAUCUAUGGCUUUGUCAUGGGUGUGUUGCCUGACCGUAUCUGUUCUGCUGUUACCUGGGCAUCAAUUAAUACAUUUAUUACCAUCUUGAUGUAGUUAGAUCAUCCAGUUCAUCUUUUGGGUUAGGUGUUUUAUCUGCCAUUCAUUAGAUUUACUGAUACAUUGUUUGCAUUUACCCAUCUGUAGUGCUGCCAUGAAUAUGUCCUGGAAAACAAAUUAAAAUCAAACUUACUAUUACUUCCUCUUCCUGGAUAUAGGCCAUGGCAGCCAUACACUUCCUCUUUUAUUAGUAAUUCUGUGGCUUGGAAAGACUGGAGGUGUAAGUAAAGGAAUUAAUUGUUUGAUUUAAUUGAAAAAUUUUCCUUUU